AUCAAUGGAUUCUCACAGGAACAAAUAUAAUACAAAAUGGAAAUUGUAUGAAUAAAGGACUGCAUUAAGGAUGGUGACCUCUAUAGCCUAUUGAUAGAGAAUAAUUUCAUUUGGACACGUACUUUCUCGCAUUUAUGGAGCAACGCUGAUGAAGUGCAACAAUGUUAAGGUGGCCUCCAGAAGCUGGAAAAGGCAAGGGAAUGGAGCCACCAGAAGGAACCAGUCCUGCCAACACCCUGAUUUUAGUCCACUGACCAUCCAUUUUGGAUUUUUGACCUCCAGAACUGUAGCCUCAAUGUCCUCAUCUAUAAAGUGAUAAGAUAAACUCAUAAGGUUUUCAUUUCAUGCUGAAGCUGAUAUAUUCCAACUGCAAAAGUAUUAGUAACCAUAAUGGCUGGCCACGGUGGCUCAUACCUGUAAUCCCAGCACUUUCGGAGGCUGAUGGGGAAUGGAUCACUUGAGGUCAGGAGUUCCAGACCAGCCUGACCAACAUAGUGAAGCCCUGCCUCUACUAAAAACACAAAAAUUAGCUGGGCGUGGUAGCACAUGCCUGUAAUCCCAGCUACUCAGGAGGCUGAGGCAUGAGAAUCGCUUGAACCUGGGAGGCGGAGGUUGCCGUGAGCCGAGAUCAUGCCACUGCACUCCAGCCUGAGCAACAGAGUGAGACUUGUCCUCAAAAAAAAAAGUAUUAGUAGCCAUAACUAUUACUGACAUGCAGACAGUAAAAAGUGAGUGAUUUUUUUCCUAUUUACUAUACCUUUGUUUAGAACUUUUUUUGUUAUAUAAACACAUAUACAUACAAAUUUCGUUUUACAAAAAUGAAAUUAUUCUAUACACACUACCUGCCAGUUGCUUGCUUCACUUAUGUAUUAUGGACAUGUUACUACUUAUAGAUGGAGCUAAUUCUACAUAAAAUGCCAUUGUAUACUAUUUCUUUACCAGUCCCUUUUGGUAGGCAUAUAAGUUAUUUGCAAUUUUUAAUCACAAACAACAAUCUAAUAAACAUUCUUGUCUAUACAUUAUCAUCAAUUUAUGAAAGAAAAUCAGUAGCACAAUUCUUAGAAUUACCCUGUUGAGCCAAAGAGUAUUCACAUUUAAACUUCUGCUAGCUACUGCCAAAGUGCCUUCCAAACAGUUGUAUCAAUUUAUACCCCCAUGGAAUGACAAUUUUUUAAGCUCAUGUCUUUGGCAGGACAAGGAUGCUUUUCUGAACCAGAUAUUAAGCUUCAAGAUAUUAAAAAAAAUAAUUUCCUCACUUGCAUUUACUAUGAUUAACUUGUUAUUAUAAUUAUUAUAAAAUCAUGGAAAAUUAAAUAUUGGUCUCCAUUU